AUCAGGUAGUCCCUCUCCAAGAUGGGCUGAAGAUAUUUUGAGCAAAAAAUCGAAAUGGUCAUAUUUUUUUGUCCUGCUGCUGGGAUGAGAAAGCUUGCGCUAUCAGUUAGCUCACCAAGGAGCAUAAAGAUUGUGACAUAAACAGCAUUAUGAGCACUGGGAGGACCUAGAUUUACACCAAUAUUAUUAUUAAAACAAAUGAAUUUUCAACAGCCAAGUCAAGAUUGGUGAUGGCUGUGAAGAAUGAAGAAGCCGUCCCACCAACUACGUUCCAUAUGCAUGCGUCCGCGGAUGGCUAUCAUUAUCAAGUCCAUAACCUAUUUGUUUCUUAAUAAAACUUGUAAUAUAUUAAUUUGAUGGAGAGUCAAUUUUUGUUGUGAAUGACUACUCCAUCUCCCCAAUCAUAGACUUUUUCUUCUGUCGUUGUCCUCCAGACCUUCUAUUUAACUACAAAUUAAGCGAAG
rnacentral:misc_RNA from 1 species